UGAAACCUUAGACUCCGGGAUGGCCAGAUAUGGACUGGUGGCUCUGAACCACCAUGUGUCCCUGGGGGCUGAGGUCUAGUCCCACACCAAGGCUAACCCGUGCUCCUGAGUUUAACCGCUGUUCCCAUGUUGUUUCCCUUUACAGGAACCCUUUCAGGGGCUCAAACCUCCCGCUUUUACUUCAAGAUUUUCAGCAUUCAGCACAACACAGGUAAUAGCUCAGCUCUGAGAAUUACACAUUUUCUGGCCCUGGCUGGCCCCAGCUCUUUGCAGACGUUGGACCUGGAGUCGCAUCGCUGGGUGCUUCGCCUUCCUGCRGCCGCUCUGGGCCAUCCCGGGGCUGCGGCAGCUCCCAGGAGCAGGAUCCGGGAAGCCGCCGAGCGCCAGCCACGGGACGAGCUGCCCCGGCCCCGGGGA
rnacentral:lncRNA from 1 species